UUGACCCAAUUCUCUCCUUAGACUCAUUUUACCCGGUCUUGGUUAUUCCACAUGAAAAGGUAACAGGCAUUGUGUUCUUUCUGUGAUUGACAAAACACUUCUCCUGGUAUUGGACCAUCAGCUGAUCAGCUUAUUUCUUCAAACAAAAGGAUGUCAACUGAACAUGUGAUGGCUUGAAAGAGAAGGAAACUGUCUGACUAAUUCAAAAGCAGAGUCACUCUUACAGUGAAGUCAUGCAGUGGAUCUACCUCCUCAUCUGUUUCAUUCUUUUUGGUGAAGGAGUCAUACCAGCAAUUGUGUUAGAACAAGAAAAGGCUGUGACUGUCCUGGUUGGAGGGGUCAGCACACUCAAGUGCAGCAUGACAGGAGGAUCUAUAAAUAACUAUUACAUGUACUGGAACAGAAAGAACCAGGACAACACUUUGACAUUUAUAUGUGAAGACAACUCAUGUAACAUGGAGAAUUUUCAGAGUGCGAUUGAUUCUACCAACAAUAAGUUCACACUUAAAAUUAUCAAGCCAUCAGUGAGAGACAAUGGAAUCUACUACUGUGCAUCUGAUCAUCACAGUGCUUCAGCUCCACUUCUAAGUAAUUCAGAAACCUACAGUCAAACUCCAAUAAGAGCCUGGCUUCUUCCGGAAGAACUCAAAGGAAAGUGGGUAGAGGGAAACGUUGACUCUCAGAGCCAAUUGAGAGCUUCCUACUUAGGAUCAUAGCUUUACAGAGCUAAAGCUGAAAGGGACCUUAGAGGGUGUCAAGUCUUAUCUUUUCAUUUUACAGAUGAGAACAGUGAGGUCCAGUUAAAUUGCCUGCCCAAGGUAACAAGUAAGUCUCACAUGUGGGAUUGGAAACCAUAUCUUCUGAUUCCACAGUCAAUGUGCUUUCAAUUGCCCUAUGUGCCUCCUACUCAGUCACUUAAGACUUGAACAAAGAAUUACAGAGACAUUUAGAUAAUUCCUAAAGAGGAUGGACCCAGUAUAGGACAAGUGAGAGCUGGGGUGGGGAGGGGGGAAGAAACACCAGUAGUUACCCUUACAUUGUUUCCCCAGAUUGCACUCAUCAGCUCCCGAGAGCCCCUAUAAAAGUUUUUGCUAGAUACGGUCAAGAGAGGCUAUAUAUAGAUGGCAGCUAAUUAUUCCUCUUUUAAAAACCCACCAUUAACCUGACUGCAGAAAAGUGGAGAAAAGUUCCUUCUUCCCUUUGCAUCUAGUAGUGCUGUUGGAGUUAUUCUAAAUCUCUUGACAUUAUGUGGGCGUCAGUGGAUCACACAGGCUGAAUAGCAGCUAUCCCUUUCUUUUACUAUAUGACUGCCUUUCUACUUUUCCAACUAUAGAUAUCUUUGAUAAUAUCUUUGGUACUGAUUCUUCUUUGUAGUUCUGCAUCAGUGUUAUGCUUGCUCAUGAUAAUACAUAUUUCUUCAUUGUCCUCUAAGUGACCUACAAUUUUAAUUAUUUGGAGAUUGGUCUUCCAUGCUUCUGAAGCAUAUAGCAUCAUUGGAAGAAUAUUGGCAAAGAUGAGUCUUUGUUUGAAAGAGAAGCUUAGGGUCAUUAAAAGCACUGUACAAUUUCCCCAAAGCAAUCCAGUUCGUUCUCUCCCAUUCAAUUCCUGAAUAAAUCCACCAUCUAUCUGAAGAACAUACUGAUCAACCACCAUGAAUAUCCUGGGUUGAACAAUAGGCAUUCUUCAUCCCCUUGGUUUUUCCCAUGUGGAACUCUGCAUGAAGGUUAUUUAGGAAGUUCCGUGAUGUUUCACUGCUUAGUACAA